rnacentral:lncRNA from 1 species
UUCUCACAUGGGAAUGCUGUUGAUCUUGGUCAGAUGAGCAGUUUUUACAUAGGUCUGGGGUCCCGGAUUAAUUGUAAUAUAUUCUCAUAUGAUUACUCUGGAUAUGGUGCUAGUUCUGGAAAGCCAACAGAGAAGAACCUGUAUGCAGACGUGGAAGCUGCCUGGCUGGCUCUUCGGACAAGAUACGGCAUUCGUCCUGAAAAUGUGAUUAUAUAUGGCCAGAGCAUAGGGACCGUACCGUCUGUGGACCUCGCUGCUCGGUAUGAGAGUGCUGCCGUUAUUCUUCAUUCUCCUUUGACCUCAGGAAUGCGGGUUGCUUUCCCUGAUACCAAGAAGACCUACUGUUUUGAUGCAUUCCCAAAGUAAGUUCAAUACUCACAGUCAUUCAGCUCCAAGAACCUUACAGAGACAUUGUCACUGAGCUGCUACCUCGUGUAAUUGAUGGCAUUGGGGUUGUGGAGGAGCCUGUGAGCACACGACUGAUAGAAAGGAAGGCUGAAGUGUCUGAGCAUGGAAUGAAGGCUUGUGUCCUCAGCAGUGCACUAGUCCAUAGACGAAAGGACAGAUUUGUGACUGUAUGUUAACAGGUCACAGCUGCAGGUUGGAUGUGGAGUUCUACAAAGAACAACUGGAGGAAGGCCCCAGCCUUGCUGUAGGUGAUAAAACAACGUGAAGUUUAGUGAGAGGCGCGGGAUGUGGGGAAGGUGAGUGAUGGCAGCUGCCAUACACAGUACUGGAUGGAUUUGCAAGAAAG